rnacentral:rRNA from 1 species
UACGUAGGGCGCAAGCGUUGUCCGGAAUUAUUGGGCGUAAAGAGCUCGUAGGCGGCUUGUCACGUCGGAUGUGAAAGCCCGGGGCUUAACUCCGGGUCUGCAUUCGAUACGGGCUGGCUAGAGUGUGGUAGGGGAGAUCGGAAUUCCUGGUGUAGCGGUGAAAUGCGCAGAUAUCAGGAGGAACACCGAUGGCGAAGGCAGGUCUCUGGGCCGCAACUGACGCUGAGGAGCGAAAGCAUGGGGAGCGAACAGG